rnacentral:rRNA from 1 species
UACGGAGGGUGCGAGCGUUGUCCGGAAUCAUUGGGCGUAAAGCGCGCGUAGGCGGUUCGGUAAGUGGGAUGUGAAAGCCCUGGGCUCAACCUGGGAACUGCAUUUCAAACUGCCGAGCUAGAGUGUGGUAGAGGGAGGUAGAAUUUCCUGUGUAGCGGUGAAAUGCGUAGAUAUAGGAAGGAAUACCAGUGGCGAAGGCGGCCUCCUGGAUCAACACUGACGCUGAGGUGCGAAAGCGUGGGGAGCAAACAGG